CACAAAACUCAUUUCAAAUAAAUUUAGGCACAACAUUGUUACAAAAUUUCAGUUCCAAUCUGAAACAUUUUUAGUAAUUGAAAUAUUACUGAAUUCAAAACUUUUCUCUGUCUCCAAGAGAAAAAAGGUUCCAUUAGAAAAAUGCAGAAAGCGGUGAAUGCGUGGACAUCCCACAACUCGAAAAAUUAUUCCCGUUUCGAAUUGAUAAAUUGGGUGAAUAAUAAACUUUGUAUCAAUCUUGUCAACGUUGAAGAAAUGAAAACUGGAUCGAAGUAUUGCGAAAUGUUUGAUUUGCUCUUUAGGGGAAUUAUUAACCUUAAUAAAGUGAAGAAGAAUUCCACCUUUGAACGUCACUAUAUAAGUAAUUUCAAGAUCUUUCAAAACGCCCUGAGGAAGGUAGGGAUAGUGAAGGAACUCGCAAUAGUUAAACUAGCAGCAGGAAGCUAUAGUGAAAACUACGAGCUAUUACAAUGGUUCCGCAAAUUUUAUGAGGCGAAUUCUAGUCAAGAUGAAGUGGAGAAAAAAGUUCCCUGCCCUUUAAUUGGUGAUAAUUUGGUGACCUCAUUUGAACUAAAUCAGUCGUUAAAAGAGGUCGGGGUAAAAAGUAAGUCAAGUAAGUCUAGUUUGAAUAAGGGCACAUUAUCUCGUACUAUUGUGUCCCUGCAGACAAGUUGUGAUGAGAACGUCUAUCCCUAAGUAAGUGACUAUAUCAUAAGCACAUUCUUCAUACAACUUUUACCACCGAAUUAGUUCCCGAACAUAUAUUAUGGCACAUGAAGAAAAGUAAAUAAAUCCAAAGUGCAAAAUUUGUUAUUUAUUUGGUUAAUCAAUGAGUAAUCAACAACAAAUUUCACAUGGCCAUGUUACUAAUAUGUUAUUAUUGGAUUUCAUGUUGUCUUAAGUUAAUGAAGUAUGCCUUGGGAUGCUUUUUUACUACGAGUGAUUGGUAUAAGUUGAAACCAAAAGAGAACACCACGUUGGUAACAUCUAGUAACGUAGCCGACAAAAGAAAGGCCUGCAUGAAUCAACAUAGAGAAAUUUAAUAACUUUAAUACCUUGAGAAGUGAGAGAAAUAAUUGGAAGACAACAAUAAUGAUAUUUAUUUUUAACUGAUUUUUAUUACUGAUGUUGGCCGAAAUAUAUAUUUUUAUGUUUCACAGAUAUAAAGUUUACAUUCUUUGUCAUAUAUAUUUAAAUACCCAACUCUAUUUAAACAUAUGCCUCUACUUAUUUGCAAAAUAUGGUUAGAUAAAUGCAAUCAAAUGAUUAUAAUGGAAAUGUUCUUUGCUCAAUUCUCAAAAGCAGCUAUGCUGGACUUUUUAUUAUACGUACCUUGUGAACGAUUUAAAUUCAAUCCUCUACCAACUGAUAAGACCAUAUUAGUCUGGUUUCAGAUCUGGCAAAUGUACCAUUUAACAACUAGCAAAUUACUUCUUGCUUUGCUAAGGAAAAAAAAUUAUAUG